AAUGCCGGAUGUUCCACAUGAUCGCAUGUGAUUGUGGGAAAGAUUCUAUCGGCGUGGGAUGGGGUCGCGUCCUAUCAGCUUGUUGGUGAGGUAACGGCUCACCAAGGCUUCGACGGGUAGCCGGCCUGAGAGGGCGACCGGCCACAUUGGGACUGAGAUACGGCCCAGACUCCUACGGGAGGCAGCAGUGGGGAAUAUUGCACAAUGGGCGCAAGCCUGAUGCAGCGACGCCGCGUGAGGGAUGGAGGCCUUCGGGUUGUAAACCUCUUUUGUUUGGGAGCAAGCCUUCGGGUGAGUGUACCUUUCGAAUAAGCGCCGGCUAACUACGUGCCAGCAGCCGCGGUAAUACGUAGGGCGCAAGCGUUAUCCGGAUUUAUUGGGCGUAAAGGGCUCGUAGGCGGCUCGUCGCGUCCGGUGUGAAAGUCCAUCGCUUAACGGUGGAUCUGCGCCGGGUACGGGCGGGCUGGAGUGCGGUAGGGGAGACUGGAAUUCCCGGUGUAACGGUGGAAUGUGUAGAUAUCGGAAAA
rnacentral:rRNA from 1 species